AACCUGGUUGAUCUUGCCAGUAGUCAUAUGCUUGUCUCAAAGAUUAAGCCAUGCAAGUGAAAGUAUAUGCAUAUUUUAUAUGUAGAAACUGCGAACGGCUCAUUAAAACAGUUAUAAUCUACUUGACAUUUCUAUAUACAAGGAUAACUACGGAAAAGCUGUAGCUAAUACUUGCUUUAAUGCGUUUGAUUCAUUUUUGUCUCUUACGUAUGUACUUGUUAAGCCUUUAAGAGAAAAGUUUACAACUUAAGGAAUUAUAACAAAGAAGUAACACAUAAUAAGUUUACCUUAUUUAGUGUGUAUCAAUCGAGUUUCUGACCUAUCAGCUUUUGAUGUUAGGGUAUUGGCCUAACAUGGCUAUGACGGGUAACGGGGAAUUAGAGUUCGAUUCCGGAGAGGGAGCCUGAGAAAUAGCUA
rnacentral:ncRNA from 1 species